rnacentral:rRNA from 1 species
GACGAACGCUGGCGGCGUGCCUAAUACAUGCAAGUCGAGCGGAGUUAUUCCUUCGGGGAUAGCUUAGCGGCGGACGGGUGAGUAACACGUAGGCAACCUGCCUGCAAGACCGGGAUAACAUUCGGAAACGAAUGCUAAUACCGGAUACGCAGUUUCCUCGCAUGGGGAGACUGGGAAAGACGGCGCAAGCUGUCACUUGCAGAUGGGCCUGCGGUGCAUUAGCUAGUUGGUGGGGUAACGGCUCACCAAGGCGACGAUGCAUAGCCGACCUGAGAGGGUGAUCGGCCACACUGGGACUGAGACACGGCCCAGACUCCUACGGGAGGCAGCAGUAGGGAAUCUUCCGCAAUGGACGAAAGUCUGACGGAGCAACGCCGCGUGAGUGAUGAAGGUUUUCGGAUCGUAAAGCUCUGUUGCCAGGGAAGAACAGCCGGGCGAGUAACUGCGCUUGGAAUGACGGUACCUGAGAAGAAAGCCCCGGCUAACUACGUGCCAGCCGCCGCAGUAACAC